rnacentral:rRNA from 1 species
AGAGUUUGAUCAUGGCUCAGAACGAACGCUGGCGGCGUGCUUAACACAUGCAAGUCGAGUGCGCGCCUGUAGCAAUACAGGUGGCGCACGGCGCACGGGUGCGUAACACGUGGGUAAUCUGCCCUCUGAUGGGGAAUAACUCGCCGAAAGGCGAGCUAAUUCCGCAUAAUAUUCCGAAAAGUUCGCUUUUUGGACUGAAAGGCGUAAGUCGUCGGAGGAGGAGCCCGCGCACGAUUAGCUAGUUGGUAGGGUAAUGGCCUACCAAGGCUUUGAUCGUUAGCUGGUCUGAGAGGAUGGCCAGCCACACUGGAACUGAGACACGGUCCAGACUCCUACGGGAGGCAGCAGUGGGGAAUCUUGCACAAUGGGCGAAAGCCUGAUGCAGCGGCGCCGCGUGGGGGAUGAAGCUUCUCGGAGUGUAAACCCCUUUCGAUCCGGACGAAUGCCUCGCAAGAGGAGUGACGGUACGGAUAUAAGAAGCCCCGGCUAACUACGUGCCAGCAGCCGCGGUAAUACGUAGGGGGCCAGCGUUGUUCGGAAUUACUGGGUGUAAAGGGUUCGUAGGCGGUGUGGCAAGUUGGGAGUGAAAUCUCUGGGCUCAACCCAGAGACGGCUUCCAAAACUGCCGUGCUUGAGUGUGGGAGAGGCUCGUGGAAUUGCAGGUGUAGCGGUGAAAUGCGUAGAUAUCUGCAGGAACACCCGUGGCGAAAGCGGCGAGCUGGACCACUACUGACGCUGAAGAACGAAAGCUAGGGGAGCAAACAGGAUUAGAUACCCUAGUAGUCC